CGUGCUCUCUCUCUUUCUCAAAAAUAAAUAAAUGUUAAAAAAAAAAAAAAAAGCAAGGAUUUAGAAACACUGCACAACACCAUCAACCAAAUAAAUCUAAUUGACAUUUGUAGAAUGCUCCACCAACAUCAGAACAUACAUUUUUUCUGAGUGCGCAUAGAACAUUCACCAAGGUAAGCCAUAUUCUGGAUUAUAAACAAAUAUUAACAAAUCGUAAAGAGUUGAAAUCAUCAACUAUGUUCUCCAGCCAUAAUGAAGUCAGAUUAAAAAUCAGUAACAGAUGACAAGAAGAUUCAAAGUUGUGGAAAUAAUAUUUCUAAAUAAUCCAUGGAUCAAAAAGUCUCUAGGGAAAUUUUAAAAUAUUUUGAACUAAAUGAAAAUGAAAACACAGCAUAUCAAAAUUUGUGGUAUACAGCCAAAGAUGUGCUAAGAGGCAUUAAGUGCACUUAUCAGAAGAGUAGAUCUCAAAUCAAUAAUUUAAGCUUCUGUCUUAAAACUAGAAGAGCAAAAUAAACCCAAGUCAAAUAGAAGAAAGGAACUAAUAAAGGCAGAAAUGAAUGAAAUUGAAAAUAAGAAAAAAGAGAAAAUCAAUGAAACCCAAAGCUGUUUAUUUUUUUUAAAAAGAUCAGUAAAAUACAUAAGCCUAUAGGCAGACUAGCAAAGGAGAAAAAAAAAAAAAAAAAGACACAAAUUACUAGUACCAGGAAUGAAAGAAGAGCUACCACUACAGACUGUAUGGACAUGGAAAGGAUGCAAGAUAACUCUAAGGACAUAAAUUCAACAACUUAAUGGAGCAGUUCUUCAAAGAACUGUAUUUCCUAUUUUUACUGUGACAAAUCACCACAAACUAAGGGCUUAAAACAGUAUAAACUUAUUAUCUUACAGUUCUGGAGGCCAGAAUGAUGGGAGUCUUACUGGGUAAAAUCAAGUUGUCAACAGGACAGCAUUCCUUUCUGGAGGCUCUAGGGGAAAAUCUAUUUCCUUAUUGUUUUCCAGCUUCUGGAGUCUGCCAACAUUUCUUGGCUCAUGGCUCCUUUCGAGUUCUUUUCUCCUCGCUCUGAAGACUUCUGUCUCCCUCUUCCAUGUUAAGGACCCUUGUGAUUAUAUUGGACGCACAUGGAUAAUCUCUCUGCUUUAAGACGUUCCAUAUGGGCAUGACCGGUCCUGUCAGCUGGGUUUGACCGAUUUGAGGUCUUCCGGAGAGCCCUCCCGGAGAGGGGCAGAGAGAGAGAGAGGGAGACACGGAACCGGAAGCUGGCUCCAGGCCCCGAGCUGUCAGCACGGAGCCGGACACAGGGCUCGAACUCACAAACUGGGAGAUCAUAACCUGAGCUGAAGUUCGGGGCCGAGGGCGUCCGGGAAGGAGAAUGGGCUGGGAGCGGUGCCGCCACCACGGCACGCCAGCCUGCAGGACUCUGCAGACUGGUUCUACCCUCUUGGAUUCCACCGAGAUCACUGGUUCAUGCCGCCUCCUUGUGGACGCCGGCCUCUCGAGACUCUUCUGAGCUGAAGGCCCUGCCGGCUCGCACUUGGGUGUGACGCCGCAGCAGAGGGCACCUCGCUGUGGGCUGGAGGGGUCCAGGCGCAGGGUGCGGGUGAGGCACCAGGCCUUUGGUCUGUGGAUCUUCCAAGCUGGCUGGUUGAACCACAAGGCACGUGCCACUGUGGUCCUCGUGGAAGUGGAACUUCGGGGUCCUGCCGUUCCGGCCGCGGGCCGUGGCUGCUCCAAGAGGGGACAGCCAGCGGGAAGGGAUGGGCGCCGCAAAGCCAUUUAGGCAUUUUAAAACGCAGAUUGCUAGGCCUCAGCUCCAGAAUUUCUGAUUCAGUAGGUCUGGAAUGGGCUGGAAAUUUUGGAUUUUUAACAACUACUCAGGUGAUUCUAAUGAUGAUGGUCAGGGCACGCGCUGAGGACCAGUUUCCCGGUGGAUUUAACCCUCUUUGCACAUCUGAAUCACCUCAGGAGUUUAUUCCUUCCUCCUUUUUUCAGAAUUAGACUUGGCUCAAUUAAAUGAAAGUGUUUGGAAGCCCUGCUGAGCAUGGUGUUAGUGGAAUUUUAUGAAUAUUUCUAACAGAAUCAGCUCGUCACAAAUAGUUCCUUCCUUUACUUCACGGCACCAUAGCACCUGUGUGAUGAAUAUAAAUGGUGGAAGUAUUGGCUAGCUAUUUGGUUUGCUGGUUCUCCCCAAGCAGAUAAUUCCUAAUUCUGUC